CGUGUUCCUUGUGACCUCGCAACUGGAACCACUAGAUACUUUGAGGCACUUGCGCUGAGCUACUGUCUACUCAGCUUGCUUUCGCCAUCGUGGUUUGUGUCUCGCGUGCCAUCGGCCUUCGUCUUGGAUCUGUGAUUUCCGCCACGUGUUUCAAGACUGCGAUAGCACAGUACUCUCAUCAGUGUUUUUGGCUAUCAACACUAUCGAUGAACUUCGUGAAAGCCCUACUGGUGGAACAUCUGCUUAUUACAUCGAGCAACAGUACGUCACUCACCCAUCGUCAACAGCAUUCUUCUGUACAAAAGAAGAUAGGUCGCUUCUUUUCGUCAGUGGGUCCAGAAAGAGAGCUGCAAUGCAGUCCCUAACGGCUCGUCCUCAUGUUUUUCAGACUCCCCGGUUGGUCACCCCAGGAAAUCAUUGCCCUCCGGCGAAGAACAUGACUGCCUAUGAUUCAUCGUACCCCUUUACCUUUGUUUGACAAAGCACGUGUGCUCCCUCUCUCCUUGUACAUAUUCCCCUCUCAUUCUUUGCAACUGUCUUGCGUCACCAUAGUAUCCCAUUCCUGUUGAAGACAGCGCUGCUGUCGAAACGUCGAAUAAUACCCCCUCUUAGUUUUUAAUAAAGUCCCCCUUUUAUUCCUUAUCCUGUAGAAGCACCGUCUCCACUUCUGAUCUUUAUUGAAUACCUUUAUUUUUCGUGGUCAACCGCAUUCGUUUAUUUCAACUUAUAUAUAUAUAUAUAUGGAUGGCUGAGGUUAGAAGGGAUGAGAG